GCUCAUUACACCAGCCUUAAUUUACUUGACCUUGACAACCUACUUGGAUAACUGUGGUAAUUCUAGAGCUAAUACAUGCACUAAAGCUCCAAUCUGCCAAGAGCGGAGCGCAUUUGUUCGCCACAAAACCAAGCGCCUUCGGGCGUUCAGUGUUGACUCAGAACAACUCAGCUGAUCGCACGGUCUUGUACCGGCGACGUGUCUUUCAAGUGUCUGCCUUAUCAACUUUCGAUGGUAGCGUAUCUGGCUACCAUGGUUGUGACGGGUAACGGAGGAUAAGGGUUCGACUCCGGAGAAGGGGCCUGAGAAAUGGCCACUACGUCUAAGGAUGGCAGCAGGCGCGCAAAUUACCCACUCUCAACAUGAGGAGGUAGUGACGAGAAAUAACGAGACCGUUCUCUUGUGAGGCCGGUCAUCGGAAUGGGUACAAUUUAAACCCUUUAACGAGUAUCUAUGAGAGGGCAAGUCUGGUGCCAGCAGCCGCGGUAAUUCCAGCUCUCAAAAUGCAUAGAAUCAUUGCUGCGGUUAAAAAGCUCGUAGUUGGAUCUGUGCUGGUCCUCCGGUCUGUCUUUCGGGCAGUACUGGAGUGGCUGGCUUUCCUGCCGGUCUUUCCCCGUCGUUGGCUUUCAUCGGUCGGCGUCGGUGGGCUGGCGAGUUUACUUUGAACAAAUCAGAGUGCUUCAAACAGGCGUUUCGCUUGAAUGUUCGUGCAUGGAAUAAUGGAAGAGGAUUUCGGUCCGAUUUUAUUGGUUUUGCUG
rnacentral:rRNA from 1 species